rnacentral:lncRNA from 1 species
CAAGCUUCCAAGCUUAAUAGUAAGUGAUUCCGAGCUCCGUUUUUAAUGUUCUAUGUAUUUUUGAAAUCCCGAUAACAUGAUCUGCUCAUUUCUACCAUUAUUUUGAGCUAGAAUUUAUGUUUAAAAAUUUACCCAUGAAUGAUAUGCAUGUAUUUUGAUAUUUAAUGGUAGAAUAUGAAGCUUGAAAUUGUGUUAAACAAUUUUUGCUAAGCGAUUUUACGUGAAAACAAGUAAAACGGUAUAAUCGGUAAAAAUACCUAAUGUUCGUAAGUACAUGUUGGAGUGAGAAUUUGAUGUUGCCAUAGAAGGGAAAAAUGAUCAGCAUGUCAUAAAACAUAAGAAAAUAGGAAGAAUUUUAAUUUCCGAACCUUGGGGCAAAUAUGUAAAAGUUUAGGAGUCAAAAUGAAAAUUUGUAAAAAUAUGAUUUUUAGACAAAUAUGAAUAGUGUGACUAAUUAGUAGGCUAAAUGUGAUAUUAUAGAUCAAGGAAAUUGAGAUUUGGGCUUAAAUCGGGAAAAUACAAGGUUAUGGACUAGAAUAGUAAAUUGCCAUUUCUGGAUCCGAGGUAAGUUUGUACGUAAAUAAUUUAUCGAUUAUUUUUAUUUUAUUAUAUUUUAUUAUCAUAUGAAAUGUGGUUGCCUAUAGAAUGAUUAUUUGUUGUAAAUUGCAAAUUGAAAAAGGACUAUGAAUAAAUUGUAACAUGUUGGAAAGUGAGGAAUUUCCCUGUUGAGCCUUCGGAAUAGAAACGAUACGAAUGAUCUAUUGUGGGAUCACGUGUGUAGUACUAAGUGCAGGCUACUAUGCGUACCCGAUAACUUCGAUCACGUGUGUAGUACUAAAUGCAGGCUACUACGUGUAUCAAAUGGUUAGGUCACGUGUGUAGUACUAAGUGCAGGCUACUAUGUGUACUGGAUAAUUGGUCACAUGUGUAGUACUAAGUGCAGGCUACUAUGCGUACCAGACAGCUUUGGCUACAAGUGUGAAAAUAUGUGCAGGCAACUGAGUAUCAGUUAUUAUUCCGAAGAGUUCAACGGAAAAAUCGAUUAAGUAAAAAUACAUGUGAACAUGAUUAUAUGAUGAAUAAGUACAGGUAUAUGUUUAAGAAAAUGUUGAGCAAUAUGCUCAAUAUUUGAGUGAACUUCGAUAAGAUAAAAUGGAUUAAGUGAAAUUAUGUAAGAGUGAAUUUUAGUAGUAAAAUAGUGUUGGACAGAAACAGUUGUGUAACUUUGAAAAUUCACCAAAAAUUGUGUAAGUUGAAUUAAAUUUCAAAUAAAUUAUGAAAUUAAAUCUUAAUGAGUCUAUUUUCAUAUAAACGAAACAGGGGGAGCAAAAGAGUUGUAUAUUAUGUGAUAUUCUAAGUUUUGUGAGACAGUGUCAGAAUGAAUUUGAGAUCCCUUGGUCUGACUUGGAAAAAUUGUUAAAAAUUUUAUAAAAAUAAUUAUGGGUUAAAAUUUAUAUCCUUAGAAUCUUUGAUGAGUCUACUUUUAAUAGAAACAAAUUGAAACUUUAUCCGAGUCUCGUACUAUGAGAUAAAUAAAUUUUAGUGAAGAAAGGUCGAAGCUGUCAAAUAGCGAAACAGGGGAGACUUUGAAUAAUAAACUGUACUUAUUGACUGGACCAAAAAUUCUGAAAAUUUUAUGGUAGAAAUAUAUGAGUCUAGUUUCUGGAAAAAUAUACGGAUCUUAAUUUGGAGUUCAGUAACUACAGAUAUAAAUGAUUUAGUGACUGUGACUCAAGAAAGCAGUUUAACCAGAACAUGCGUAAAUGUACAAUUGAGUUAGUUUUACUAUGGAAAGCAUGUUAGUAAAUUGCUUAUUAUUAUUUCAUGCGAGCUUACUAAGCGUAAAGCUUAGCCCCUCCUUUCCAUUUCUUUUAGUGUUGUCAGGUGGUUGGAGAUCGUCGGAGGCAGCAUCACACUAUCAAGCUAACACCUUGAUAAUAUAAACACAUAUGCUAGAAUUAUUUAGUGAGUGGUAUGUAUAAACACCAAAUUUUGACUGAUGGGCUACUUUGCUUACAUAUCCAAUAAAUUUUUACCGACCUUCCUUUAACUCUAC